rnacentral:rRNA from 1 species
UACGAGAGGCCCAAACGUUAUUCGGAUUUACUGGGCUUAAAGAGUUCGUAGGCGGCGCAGAAAGUAGGGUGUGAAAGCCCUCGGCUCAACCGAGGAAUUGCGCCCUAAACUACUGUGCUUGAGGAACCUAGAGGUGAGCGGAACUGAUGGUGGAGCGGUGAAAUGCGUUGAUAUCUGGAGGAACACCGGUGGCGAAGGCGGCAUCCUGGACCGGCAUUGACGCUGAGGCGCGAAAGCUAGGGGAGCAAACGGG